rnacentral:rRNA from 1 species
UGGGGAAUUUUGGACAAUGGGCGAAAGCCUGAUCCAGCAAUGCCGCGUGUGUGAAGAAGGCCUUCGGGUUGUAAAGCACUUUUGUCCGGAAAGAAAUGGCUCUGGUUAAUACCUGGGGUCGAUGACGGUACCGGAAGAAUAAGGACCGGCUAACUACGUGCCAGCAGCCGCGGUAAUACGUAGGGUCCAAGCGUUAAUCGGAAUUACUGGGCGUAAAGCGUGCGCAGGCGGUUGUGCAAGACCGAUGUGAAAUCCCCGAGCUUAACUUGGGAAUUGCAUUGGUGACUGCACGGCUAGAGUGUGUCAGAGGGGGGUUAGAAUUCCACGUGUAGCAGUGAAAUGCGUAGAGAUGUGGAGGAAUACCGAUGGCGAAGGCAGCCCCCUGGGAUAACACUGACGCUCACGCACGAAAGCGUGGGGAGCAAACAGGAUUAGAUACCCUGGUAGUCCACGCCCU